rnacentral:rRNA from 1 species
AUUGAACGCUGGCGGCAGGCCUAACACAUGCAAGUCGAGCGGAUGAAGGGAGCUUGCUCCUGGAUUCAGCGGCGGACGGGUGAGUAAUGCCUAGGAAUCUGCCUGGUAGUGGGGGAUAACGUCCGGAAACGGGCGCUAAUACCGCAUACGUCCUGAGGAGGAAGGGGGGGGUUCUUGGGACCACAGCUUACAGGAUGACCCUAGGUCGGAUUAGCUAGUUGGUGGGGUAAAGGCCUACCAAGGCGACGAUCCGUAACUGGUCUGAGAGGAUGAUCAGUCACACUGGAACUGAGACACGGUCCAGACUCCUACGGGAGGCAGCAGUGGGGAAUAUUGGACAAUGGGCGAAAGCCUGAUCCAGCCAUGCCGCGUGUGUGAAGAAGGUCUUCGGAUUGUAAAGCACUUUAAGUUGGGAGGAAGGGCAGUAAGUUAAUACCUUGCUGUUUUGACGUUACCAACAGAAUAAGCACCGGCUAACUUCGUG